rnacentral:rRNA from 1 species
UACGUAGGGGGCAAGCGUUGUCCGGAUUUAUUGGGCGUAAAGCGCUCGUAGGCGGCUCGAUGCGUCGUGCGUGAAACACCCCGGCUCAACUGGGGAGGGUCGUGCGAUACGGUCGGGCUGGAGGCCAGUAGGGGGAUGCGGAAUUCCGGGUGUAGUGGUGGAAUGCGUAGAGAUCCGGAGGAACACCAGCGGCGAAGGCGGCAUCCUGGACUGGUACUGACGCUCAUGAGCGAAAGCGUGGGGAGCGAUCCGG